rnacentral:rRNA from 1 species
UACGAAGGGUGCAAGCGUUACUCGGAAUUACUGGGCGUAAAGCGUGCGUAGGUGGUUCGUUAAGUCUGAUGUGAAAGCCCUGGGCUCAACCUGGGAAUGGCAUUGGAUACUGGCGACCUAGAGUGCGGUAGAGGGGUGUGGAAUUCCCGGUGUAGCAGUGAAAUGCGUAGAUAUCGGGAGGAACAUCUGUGGCGAAGGCGACGCCCUGGACCAGCACUGACACUGAGGCACGAAAGCGUGGGGAGCAAACAGG